ACUAUGAAGUUUCACUAUUCCCUGGGAUUGGGUUCGGGCCUUUCCUACAUAGCUUAGGUAGAAGGCGAAUAAAGGACUCCUUCCAGGGGCUUGAGACAUCAAUGAGAUGCCACUCUAGAAGAGAUAGAAUUCUAACCUUGCGUUAAGACUGACGGGCCAUAGGACAGUCUCAGGUAGAUAGUUUCUAUGGGACAUAGGCCUCCCAAAAGGUAACGAAGCCGUGUAAAAGUUUCUUGAGGCUGGAUGGAGAUUGGCCUUUCAAUGCAAAGGUAGAAGGGAGUUUAACUGUAAGACUCAACCAUCGAGCAAGGACAAAGUUGGCUUUAGUGAUCUGACAAUUUCGAGUGAAAGGGCCAUCACUCAACGGAUAAAAGUUACUUUAGGGAUAAUAGGUUGAUCUUUCUUAAGAGCUCACACCGACAGAAAGUUUGGCACCUUGAUGUCGGCUCUUCGCCAUUUGGGGUUGUAGUACAUUCCAAGGGUUGGGUUGUUCGCAUAUUAAAGCAGUCCAUAAGCUAGAUUCAGAACGUCAUGAGAUAGUUCGGUC
rnacentral:rRNA from 1 species